rnacentral:rRNA from 1 species
UACAGAGGCCUCGAGCGUUAGGCGGAAUCACUGGGCUUAAAGCGUGUGAUAGGCGGAUCGCUAAGUACCUUGUGAAAUCCCACGGCUUAACCGUGGAACUGCUUGGUAUACUGGCAGUCUUGAGCCACUUAGGGGCGACCGGAACAAACGGUGGAGCGGUGAAAUGCGUAGAUAAUCGUUUGGAACGCCAAAGGUGAAAACAGGUCGCUGGGAGUGAUGCUGACGCUGGAGAACACGAAAGCCAGGGGAGCAAACGGG